UUCACCGACGAACAGAGAACGAUGAAGCGUGAUGAUGAAAUGAUCUCAUAAGCCAAUCGAGUCCUUACUCCCCCAAUACCUUGAACCAUCCCACACGUCUCGUCAAUCGAUUCUCAUCGCCGAUCUGUUGUUGUCGCCGUGUUCUCGCCGUCGGGUUCGAAGUUCACCUAGUCGUGUUCUCGCCGUCGUGUUUGUCUGGACGUAUUCCCGCUGUCGUGUUUGUCUGGACGUAUUCUCGUCGCCGAUCUCGUUGCUUUGCCUUAUUGUGAAUUGGAUUAGAUACGAUGAAGUCUUUGAAAGGAGAAUGAACAAACACGGUGAUAGGAGACCUGAAGAUUGGGUAAUUUUGUUUUUGCUAAAGUCAAAAGGCUUCCAUGCUUGGCCUGCUAAGGUUUUUGUGACAGAACAACCUUGAACAACAACACAGUCAAUGCCACAAUUGAUUGGAUAGGAAACUGUAAUAUCAACAAUGAAACGCUUCUAUAUGUGCCUUGUGGUGUGUAUUUGACUCAGAGCUUCAAUCAUUGAUAUUGAGUUUGGUGAUCUCGUUCUUGCUAAAGUCAAAGGCGUGCUAAUGUAUCUAUCUCUCUCUCUCGGUUUAAUUCAUGAUCAUGUUUUAUUUUUUUCUAGGGUGGUCUUGCACAUACUGUUGUUUAUUAGUAUAUUCUGCUCUGUUUCGUUUUCACGUAUGCUUUUAGCUAUAUAGUUCUUAUUUUCAUCUUAUGAAAAUUCAGGAAGGGGUUCUUGAACUUCAAAAUGAACUUCAUAAAAAGUUUGGAAUUCAGGAUGAACAUAAGGAUUGAUAAUCAGAGAACAAUAAAUAUUUUUUUUUGGCUUCAUGGUUUUUUUCGUUUGUUGUAUGUUGGUCUUUAGUUUGCUACUAGUUUUAGGACUGAGUAAACAUCUUCAUGAUUUCUC